rnacentral:rRNA from 1 species
GACGAACGCUGGCGGCGUGCUUAACACAUGCAAGUCGAACGGAAAGGCCCUGCUUUUGUGGGGUGCUCGAGUGGCGAACGGGUGAGUAACACGUGAGUAACCUGCCCUAGACUUUGGGAUAACUUCAGGAAACUGGGGCUAAUACCGGAUAGGAGCUCCUGCUGCAUGGUGGGGGUUGGAAGGUUUCGGCGGUUGGGGAUGGACUCGCAGCUUAUCAGCUUGUUGGUGGGGUAGUGGCUUACCAAGGCUUUGACGGGUAGCCGGCCUGAGAGGGUGACCGGCCACAUUGGGACUGAGAUACGGCACAGACUCCUACUGGAGGCAGCAGUGGGAAAUAUUACACAAUGGACGGAAGCCUGAUGCAGCAACGCCGCGUGCGGGAUGACGGCCUUCAGGUUGUAAACCGCUUUCGCCUGUGACGAAGCGUGAGUGACGGUAAUGGGUAAAGAAGCACCGGCUAACUACGUG